rnacentral:rRNA from 1 species
CAGUCGCCACGGUAAUACGUAGGUGGCAAGCGUUGUCCGGAAUUAUUGGGCGUAAAGGGCUCGCAGGCGGUUUCUUAAGUCUGAUGUGAAAGCCCCCGGCUCAACCGGGGAGGGUCAUUGGAAACUGGGAAACUUGAGUGCAGAAGAGGAGAGUGGAAUUCCACGUGUAGCGGUGAAAUGCGUAGAGAUGUGGAGGAACAUCAGUGGCGAAGGCGACUCUCUGGUCUGUAACUGACGCUGAGGAGCGAAAGCGUGGGGAGCGAACAGGAUUAGAUACCCGAGUAGUCCCUGUCUCUUAUAC